rnacentral:tRNA from 3 species
GCCGGGAUAGCUCAGUUGGUAGAGCAGGG